CCCCAAUCGCGCACCCCACAAACCAUAUCCUGGUGUAAUACCCAAGAAAAAAAGAAAAGGGCUUUUAGAGGGUGGAGAGGCAGGAACAUCCAGCCCAGUCCUUCCUGUCCUCCCCACAUUGCCUCCUCCCCAGUCCCGACGCAUCUCCUUCCCCUUAUCGUUCUCUUUCUCCUCCUCAUUCCAUCCAUGGCUGCUCCUCCCUAGAUCCCCCAAUGCAGAACCAAAUCCUUGAAGGGGAGUAGCAAAAACGGAACGGGAAGAGUAAAAGGAGCUCGAGGAGAUGCUUUUCCCCCUCACUCCCCACGGCUAGGGUUUGGGGGAAACUCAAGGGCUUCCUUCUGUGCAAAGGAUAUUGCUGUUGAUGAUCGCUAUCUGGGCUUCCUGAGUUGCCUCCUAAGUGGGAGCCGAUUCUUGAGAUCAAGUUGAUUUUGGGUACACAACCUAUUAAUAAGACACAAUAUAAGUUGGCUCCAAUAUAGCAAGAGGAUUUUAAGAUGUAGCUAGAUUGACCUUCAUGCUAAGGGGUUUAUUCGCUGAAGCACAUCGCCUUGGGUUACUACUAUUAUUUAUUUGUUGGAGAAAAGGGAUGACACAAAGGUGCUUCCUGUGGGGCAUAGGUUACUUAAUCAUGAGACGAUCAAGGCAAGUACAUUUUGUCUUGUAUGGAUGCCCGGUGCCAAUGUGUUCUCUAAGAUUGUGUUGCAGUCUAAUUACCAUCAACUUUGGAUCAGAGAUAAUGAUUGAGAAGGUGGCUUUCAAUGCAAAGUAUGGGCACUAUGAGUAUGUUGUCAUUUCGUUUGGAGUAACAAAUGUCCUUCUAUUGUAUGGAGACCAUGGUCAGGAUGUUGCAAGAGUACUUGGAUGUUUCUGUGGUAGUUUGCAUUUAUGAUAUCCUAGUCUACUCUAAGUUCAAGGAGGAAUAUGGGGUUUAGUUUGGUGCCAUAUAUGUCAUGGAUGGUCUAGGGAAGAAUAAUUAUACACAAAGCUGAGGAAAUUAGCUUUUUGGAUUUCUGAAGAGAGCACUUUGGGGUCAUGUGACUGACCAGGUAUUAUGGUGAAAUAUUUCCUUUUGUGAUGGGGCUGUCAAGACCAACCAAUGUGAUAGAGGUUCAAAUUUAUCUUGGGCUCGCUGGUUAUUGUUGGUGCUUGGUGAAGGAUUCCUUAAUAUUUAUAAACCUAUUAUUUGGCUUACUGAGAAGGGUUCUCCACUAGGACCACUGAGUGUGUGGGGGGGGGGGGGAUUAGAAACUUGAAAGGGUAAAUUAGUGAAAUGUCCUAUAUUGACUUUAUCAGAUGGUAGCAAGGGAUUUAAUUUGUAUACGGAUGCAUCCUGUACAAGCUUGGUUGGGUGCUUACGUAAAUGAGCAUGGUGCUUAUGCUUCACUUUAGUAUAAGAACCCUAAAUGGAUCAUUUUAUGCAUGAUUUGGAGCUAAUUGUAGUGGUUUUGCUUUAAAAUUUAGAGGCACUGUAUUUAUGGUGAGUCAUAUUAUUUCUCUACUUAUCAUCAAAGCCUCAAGUAUAUAUUCACCAGGAAGGAGUUAAAUCCGAGGCAAUGAGACUUGAGUCGAUAGAGGAUUAAGAUUUGACUGUCCAACAUCAUACAAGAAAGCAAAUGUUGUAGCCCAUUCACUUUGUAGGAUAGAGGUGCUAAAUCACUGAUGCCCUCGAUUUCAAAUAUGAAUCAUAUAGUUAUUUUAUUAUUUAGGUGUUGCAUAUCAAGAGACUAAAGUGAGCAUUUAGUCUUCCCUAUAUAUCCUGCACGCGAGGCUCAAAAGCAAGAUCGCUUAAGCCAGGAGGUUGGAAAUAGGAUUUCUAAUGGUAUGCAAUAGGAAUUCAACAUUGGUGAUCAUGGGAUCGUACAUUUCAGAGAACACUUUUGUGUCAUAGAAAUCAAUGGUGAAGAUGGGUAUUUUAACAGAGGCAUGUCAGACACCAUAUGCGGUUCAUUGUGGUGAGACACAAGUGUAUCAAGAUUUGAGGCAAAACCUCUGGUGGAAAAGGAUGACAGUUGAUAGUUCCAAUUAUGUGGUGGCUUAAGUUUGUAGUAGGUGAGGUUUAGAGCACAAAAGUCCGCAAGUUUGUUAAGCCUUGAGUGGAAAUGAGAGCAUAUUACUAUGAAUUUUGUGAAUUAGUUUGCCUCGGUCACCUCAAGGAAGGGAUGCUAUGUGGAUUGUUGGGGAUAGACCCACCAAACUGGCAUGUUCCAUUCCAGUAUAAACAACUGGCACUGCACUGGAUUUGGUUCCCUUAUGUAUUAGAUGGAUGGUCAAUUAGAGCGUACCCUUUGGAUCUUGGAGGAUAUUCUUCGAACUUGGAUCCUUUCUUCAAAAGGUAGUUCGAGGAUUAUCUAGCAAUGUAAGAGUUGGCUUAUGAUAAUAGUCGCCAAGCUAGUAAACAUAUGGUUCCAUAUAAUACUUUGUAUGGAAUAAGGUGGACCUCACCUUUUUAUGAUUUGGAAACUUUGGAUGAGAGGUAUUUGGUUGGUCAAGAUUGGGUUAGGAGACAUCUAAGAAGGUGCAAGAGAUACAUUAAAAUUUAUUGGCUGCUUAUAGUCGACAAAAGUACUAUGCAAAUGUCACGAGGCGGGAUUUAGAGUUUGUAGUGGGAGACAAAGUUCUCCCAAGGUCUUCACAAACCCAAGGCAUUAAGCGUGGUAUGCUACACCUAGCAAGCUUAACCCAAGACACAUUGGCCUACUUCAUUUUGUACCUCAGGUUGAAAAGUAUUUGAAGGACCUUGAGCACAAGGUUGAUUUGGGGCAUGAUGGAGUGGAGUAGAACUUGAUAAUUGUAUGGCAGGUAGUGCACAUUUUGGACUCUUUACGUGGGCCAGGAGAAGAAGAGUUACUAAGUAUGUGAAGGCACUUGGGCUAAUUUGGAAGAAGCUACUUGAAAGCUCGAAGAUUAAUUAAUGUACAAAACAUCCAUAACUCUUUGAAGCGAUGGAGUUAUAUGCCUCCAUUUAAGUUGUCUCUUGCUUGGUCACUCCGUUGUCAUGGUAUGAUCGAAUUUGGGGACGAAUUCCCUAAAGGACGGGAGAAUGUAAUACCCAAAAAAAAGAAAAGGGCUUUAAGAGGGGGGAGAGGCAGGGCCCAUCCAGCCCACACCUUCCCGUCCUCCCCAUGCUGCCUCCUCCCCAGUCCCGAUGCAUCUCCUUCCCCUUCUCGUUCUCUUUCUCCUCCUCCCAUGGCUGCUCCUCCCUAGACCCCCCCAAUGCAGCACCCAAUCCUUGAAAGGGAGUAGCAAAAAAUGGAACGGAAAGAGUAAAAGGAGCUCGAGGAGAUGGAUCUUGGGGGUAGAUUUGCUUUUCCCCCUCACUCCCCGCGGCUAGGGUUUGGGGGAAACUCAAGGUACUUGAGUGGCUUUUGGCUUGAUGGGUGGGAAGUAGCAGCUCACGUCACACUUCAUGCCAUUAUCUUGUUUUAAACUCGUGCUGUAACAUAACUAGUGAUAGAAUUUUAGUUAAACUUAUCUUUAGACUUGUGGAUCAUGUGGGUUGUUCCUAGACCCUGGUGGUGCCUAUCUAAUCUUUUAGGUUGUUAUUCCUUGCUAUUGCACUUAUUCAUCUAUCUUGUUGUGUGGUUGCUUCCGCUUGAACUCAGACAGGGGAGAUGCCGCCAAAAUUUUUCUUGUUGGCGUUUAUGUUUGAGUGGUGGCAUCCUGAUACGGGUUGUUUAGGGGGUGUUACACCUGGACACCCUCUUAGUCCUAAACCUUGAACUCGCUAGUAGCAGGCCGCCGCCAAUCCCUGGCUGAUCGUGUGCGCAUGCGACCGCUCAGCGGCAAACUGAACAUGAGCAGUGGCGGCGGCAACCUUUCGGUGGCUCACGCAGGGUCCGUGGUUAGGGCUAAUUGUCAUGUAAGUGAUAUUAUUGUUCUAUUAGUGCUAAUUUAUCAUAGUUUGCACCUAAUUUGUUGUUAAUCAUCAUGCUUAAGCCACACCCGUUGUCAUCAAAUGCUCAUGUUUAGGACUCUAAUUACUAAUGCUUCAGUUUGUUAAUCAUGAUUAGGGGUUCAAUAUGCAUGAUUAGUCAUUCCUUAGGCAUGAUUGCCUCUCUGUUGUUCAUGAUUAGUUAAGUUUUCAGUCUAAUUAUGCCACAGUUAUGCCUAAUCUACUAAGCUCAGUACCAUUUUUUUUCUUUUUUUGAGUAGAGCUCAGUACCAUUUUGGAUAAGCUUGUCGAAUUGGUGCAAGUCAGUAAGAAUUUGGGUCUAUGGUUACGGGCUCAGCAUGUAGAAGGAGAGGAAAUAAGGCAACAUGCAAAUCAAAUCCCAAAUUUCCGAAACGCUAGAGAAUGAUUUGUCCCUCAGUUCCCCAAAUCGAAUUGAUGAAUCAAGGCAAAUAGAAUACUAACGGCCGUUAGCAAAUAUAGGGUCCAGGGACCAGUUGCCUCCAGUACUCCAGUGCCGCGGCUCCCGGCGCAUGAGAUUUGCACCGCCGCCACGCGAAAGGCGCUGCCGCGGAGCCGCUCGAUGGCGCCGCGCGCAGCCACAGCCGCAUGCGCGCACCAGCGAACGGAUCCACGACAGGCAGCGCCGCCGUGUCGCAGCCUCGCCUUUGUGUCGCAUUCCCAUCUCAAGCCGUCGUCGGCCCCAUCUCAUGCCGCCGCUUUCUCACCAGUGGAAUGUGGAGGGGAAAGGGCAAAACGCCCUAGGAUUUUUGGCCGGAAUUGAUAGCGGCCGUUUGAUCAAAACAUACGGGUGAGAUCGCAUCUUGCUAAAACAGGCCGGUGGGCUGAGGCAGCCUGGCACAAAGUUGUGGCCCAGGCGUGAGGAGCUAGCCUGGUCAAAUGCUGCCCGUCCCGAGGAAUUGUUUCGGCCAUUAAAGAAUUUUCAUUCCUGUGGUGCGCCUUGAGGGUACAAUUUACGAAAAUAUUAUGGCCAAACAUCUAAUUUAGCUAUAUAGAGUACGGUUUACAUUUUGUAUGGUGGACCAAUUGAGUUUGAAAGGUGCACUCCGCAAUUAUGAUAUGAGUUUCUGCUUUUUAUUUUAGUCCUCUAAUUACCACUGGGUUAAUUUUAUGAUGUGUAAAUAUUUGUUUUGUGCUAUUAUGUGAAAGUUUAUUCUUUUUUCAUGCUCCAUGUAUUGCGCAAGAAAAUCAAGAAUAUCAAUGGAGUAUCAAUGACUUUGAAUGACAUGCAGCCACCACUAGAUUCAAGAGAAAGGAGGAGGCAACGAGAUAGAGAUCGGUAUGCACAUAUGCCUAUCCAAUAGAAGGAAAAAUUACUAAAAAGGUGCCGUGAAAAUUACCAACGAAAUAAAGCUGUAACCACUAAAGGUGGACUUGAACACCUUCAAUUGUCAGGUAAUACCAAUCAGUUAUACUUA